CCGACUAGUUCCGGGUUCGAGUC
rnacentral:tRNA from 3 species